UGCAAUCUUUCACACAAGCAGCCGCGCC
rnacentral:sRNA from 1 species